rnacentral:rRNA from 1 species
AUUGAACGCUGGCGGCAUGCCUUACACAUGCAAGUCGAACGGUAACAGGUCUUCGGAUGCUGACGAGUGGCGAACGGGUGAGUAAUACAUCGGAACGUGCCUAGUAGUGGGGGAUAACUAAUCGAAAGAGUGGCUAAUACCGCAUGAGAUCUACGGAUGAAAGCAGGGGAUGGCAAGACUUUGUGCUACUAGAGCGGCCGAUGGCAGAUUAGGUAGUUGGUGGGAUAAAAGCUUACCAAGCCGACGAUCUGUAGCUGGUCUGAGAGGACGAUCAGCCACACUGGGACUGAGACACGGCCCAGACUCCUACGGGAGGCAGCAGUGGGGAAUUUUGGACAAUGGGCGCAAGCCUGAUCCAGCAAUGCCGCGUGCAGGAUGAAGGCCUUCGGGUUGUAAACUGCUUUUGUACGGAACGGAAAGCCCCGGGUUAAUACCCUGGGGUCAUGACGGUACCGUAAGAAUAAGCACCGGCUAACUGCGUGCCAGCCGCCGCCGUAA